CCUACGGGGGGCUGCAGUGAGGAAUAUUGGACAAUGGAGGCAACUCUGAUCCAGCCAUGCCGCGUGCAGGAAGACGGCCCUAUGGGUUGUAAACUGCUUUUAUACAGGAAGAAACGUCAGUACGUGUACUGACCUGACGGUACUGUAAGAAUAAGGAUCGGCUAACUCCGUGCCAGCAGCCGCGGUAAUACGGAGGAUCCAAGCGUUAUCCGGAAUUAUUGGGUUUAAAGGGUCCGCAGGCGGUCUGAUAAGUCAGAGGUGAAAUACUAUCGCUCAACGAUAGAACUGCCUUUGAUACUGUUAGACUUGAGUUAUUGUGAAGUAGUUAGAAUGUGUAGUGUAGCGGUGAAAUGCAUAGAUAUUACACAGAAUACCGAUUGCGAAGGCAGAUUACUAACAAUACACUGACGCUCAUGGACGAAAGCGUGGGUAGCGAACAGGAUUAGAUACCCCAGUAGUC
rnacentral:rRNA from 2 species